rnacentral:rRNA from 1 species
UACGAAGGGGGGCUAGCGUUGCUCGGAAUCACUGGGCGUAAAGCGCACGUAGGCGGAUUCUUAAGUCGGUGGUGAAAUCCUGGAGCUCAACUCCAGAACUGCCUUUGAUACUGGGUAUCUUGAGUAUGGAAGAGGUAAGUGGAAUUCCGAGUGUAGAGGUGAAAUUCGUAGAUAUUCGGAGGAACACCAGUGGCGAAGGCGGCUUACUGGUCCAUUACUGACGCUGAGGUGCGAAAGCGUGGGGAGCAAACAGG